AUCCGAUGGAUCCGAAGGAUCGGAUGGAUCCGAAGGAUCGGAUGGAUCCGAAGGAUCGGAUGGAUCAAUAGAUAUCCAUCGGAUCCUUUGGAUCCAUCGGAUCCUUUGGAUCCAUCGGA
rnacentral:miRNA from 1 species